UUCUUCACCUUCUGUGCCUUCAAGUCGCGCUCGCUGUGGGCUUGGGUUUGCUGGGUGGGUGCUGGAGGCCAUGCCUGAUGUUCUCCUGUACCUUCUUGCCCACAGCCCCCUGUGCCCGGGAGCCAUGAGCCGCCCUCAGCGCCCGCAGAGCCUCCGAAGCAGCCCCCCGGCCGCAGCCCCCCGGCGCUGCUAGCCCUCCCUGCUCCCCCAGCAAGGUGCCCGUCUCUCCCAUCCCUCCCAAAGGUUCCUUGCCUCACCAGCAGCUCCUUGCAAGAUUUCAGCUCUGGGCUGCGCGUCCAGAACUGAGCGAGGUGCCCCGCUGCUCUGCGUUGGGUCCCAUGAGACAGGCAGGACCACCCUGUCCUUCCCACCCGGGGCCGCAGCACCCCCCUCUCCCUCCGCUGCACAGGAAGCCCCUCCAGCACCCGAAACGAAGCUGCAGAGGUCUGCUGCCACGUGCAUGAGAGAAAAGCAGAGGAGAGGCCAAAGCCCAGCGUGCCCCCGGCAUCCGAUCCGCCAGCAUCCUGCCUUCAUCUGACCUGGGUAGGUGGCACACGAGCUCGGGUGCUGUUGUAUUGCUGAGCAUAUGACACUCACAUGCCUCAGCCCUGCUGAAUCAGGGGCUGGACUGGUUUCUGCUGCU
rnacentral:lncRNA from 1 species